rnacentral:rRNA from 1 species
GAUAUUGCCCUUGCUUCCAGGAAAAGCCACUAAGCUUCAGCUGUAGAAAAACCGUACCGCAAACCGACACAGGUAGGCAGGGUGAGAAUCCCAAGGCGCUUGAGAGAACUCGGGUGAAGGAACUAGGCAAAAUGGCACCGUAACUUCGGGAGAAGGUGCGCCUCUUGGUGUGGUCACGUGCGUGACUGAGCAUCGAGGGGUCGCAGUAACCUGGCCGCUGCGACUGUUUAUCAAAAACACAGCACUCUGCAAACACGAAAGUGGACGUAUAGGGUGUGACGCCUGCCCGGUGCUGGAAGGUUAAUUGAUGGGGUCAGCCGCAAGGCGAAGCUCUUGAUCGAAGCCCCAGUAAACGGCGGCCGUAACCAUAACGGUCCUAAGGUAGCGAAAUUCCUUGUCGGGUAAGUUCCGACCUGCACGAAUGGCGUAACGACAGCGGCGCUGUCUCCACCCGAGACUCAGUGAAAUUGAAAUCGCUGUGAAGAUGCAGCGUUCCCGCGGCAAGACGGAAAGACCCCGUGAACCUUUACUAUAGCUUUACACUGAACGUUGAGUUCUUCUGUGUAGGAUAGGUGGGAGGCUAUGAAACCAGGACGCUAGUUCUGGUGGAGCCAUCCUUGAAAUACCACCCUGAAGUGCUUGACGUUCUAACCUAGGUCCGUAAUCCGGAUCGGGGACCGUGUAUGGUGGGUAGUUUGACUGGGGCGGUCUCCUCCCAAAGAGUAACGGAGGAGCACGAAGGUACGCUCAGCGCGGUCGGACAUCGCGCACUGUGUGCAAAGGCAUAAGCGUGCUUGACUGCGAGAUCGACGGAUCAAGCAGGUACGAAAGUAGGUCUUAGUGAUCCGGUGGUUCUGUAUGGAAGGGCCAUCGCUCAACGGAUAAAAGGUACUCCGGGGAUAACAGGCUGAUACCGCCCAAGAGUUCAUAUCGACGGCGGUGUUUGGCACCUCGAUGUCGGCUCAUCACAUCCUGGGGCUGUAGCCGGUCCCAAGGGUAUGGCUGUUCGCCAUUUAAAGUGGUACGCGAGCUGGGUUCAGAACGUCGUGAGACAGUUCGGUCCCUAUCUGUCGUGGGCGUUGGAGAUUUGAGGGGGGCUGCUCCUAGUACGAGAGGACCGGAGUGGACGUUCCGCUGGUGUUCGGGUUGUCAUGCCCAUGGCAUUGCCCGGUAGCUACGAACGGAAGUGAUAACCGCUGAAAGCAUCUAAGCGGGAAGCACGCCCCAAGAUGAGAUCUCCCGAGAGCUUGACUCUCCUAAAGGCACCAUCAAGACUAGGUGGUUGAUAGGCACGGUGUGGAAGUGCAGCAAUGCAUUGAGCUUACGUGUACUAAUGAGCCGUGAGGCUUGACCAA